rnacentral:rRNA from 1 species
CCUACGGGGGCUGCAGUGGGGAAUAUUGGACAAUGGGCGAAAGCCUGAUCCAGCCAUGCCGCGUGUGUGAAGAAGGCCUUCGGGUUGUAAAGCACUUUCAGUGGGGAAGAAAGCCUUGGGGCUAAUACCCUCGAGGAAGGACAUCACCCACAGAAGAAGCACCGGCUAGACUCCGUGCCAGCAGCCGCGGUAAUACGGAGGGUGCGAGCGUUAAUCGGAAUUACUGGGCGUAAAGCGCGCGUAGGCGGUCUGAUAAGCCGGUUGUGAAAGCCCCGGGCUCAACCUGGGAACGGCAUCCGGAACUGUCAGGCUAGAGUGCAGGAGAGGAAGGUAGAAUUCCCGGUGUAGCGGUGAAAUGCGUAGAGAUCGGGAGGAAUACCAGUGGCGAAGGCGGCCUUCUGGACUGACACUGACGCUGAGGUGCGAAAGCGUGGGUAGCAAACAGGAUUAGAUACCCCGGUAGUC